GUGGGGAAUAUUGGACAAUGGGGGGAACCCUGAUCCAGCCAUGCCGCGUGUGUGAAGAAGGCCUUUUGGUUGUAAAGCACUUUAAGCGAGGAGGAGGCUACCGAGAUUAAUACUCUUGGAUAGUGGACGUUACUCGCAGAAUAAGCACCGGCUAACUCUGUGCCAGCAGCCGCGGUAAUACAGAGGGUGCAAGCGUUAAUCGGAUUUACUGGGCGUAAAGCGCGCGUAGGUGGCCAAUUAAGUCAAAUGUGAAAUCCCCGAGCUUAACUUGGAAAUUACAUUCGAUACUGGUUGGCUAGAGUAUGGGAGAGGAUGGUAGAAUUCCAGGUGUAGCGGUGAAAUGCGUAGAGAUCUGGAGGAAUACCGAUGGCGAAGGUAGCCAUCUGGCCUAAUACUGACACUGAGGUGCGAAAGCAUGAGGAGCGAACAGGAUUAGAAACCCUUGUAGUCC
rnacentral:rRNA from 1 species